AAACCAAUCAAACAGGUAGGCCAGUCACGUCGUACGCCAAUCAACAGUGAGAUUGACCUUGAGCGAGGUGCGUUGAGAAAGAAAGUUUGUGGCAAACAAAGUACUGGCUCAGGCGCUAUGUAAUGUUAAAAAGAAGAAAAUACAAGUAAAAUGGACUAGGGAUCGCUCUAAAACUAAAAUAAACACCAGAGCACAAUUCGGAAAGACCGCGGAAUCGAGUGCUGAAGCCGGACGCUGAGCUCCCAUUGCUUCUUCUGGACCGGGUCUGGAAUUCUGUGGGAAGGAGGCACUGUGGAAUACCGGGGUCCGGAAUUCUGUGGGAAGGAGGCACUGUGGAACACCGGGGUCCGGAAUUCUGUGUGAAGGAGGCACUGUGGAAUAUCGGGGUCCGGAAUUCUGCGGGAAGAAGGCAGUGUCGCAUUUCCAUGCGGGAGUCCAGGAGCAUGCUUUGCUGGUGGAAGUGGGAAAAACAGCCUCAGAGUGAGUGGAAUGAAGCAGCUUGCCCUGGAAACAUCGGCAGGUCGUUAGGCAAUAAAAUGCAUCACCAUGCAGCGCUCCAGAAUGCAGCAACGCAGCUCCAACACAGCUGCAUGGAGUGCCUGUAGUAAUGCCUGUGCUGAUGAGAGGAGUGGCCAU